rnacentral:lncRNA from 1 species
AUUCAGAGCUUUAAAGUGGCCUAUUAACCAGAAUAACCCCAAAAGGAAUUAGCAAAAGUCCCCUUUUUCAAGAAAGCCCACUUUCUUGAAAAUAGAACUGUAAUCCUCAUCUUAACUGUAAAAGGAAUUUUAUUAAUACUUGGUCUAGGGCUUUUUUUUUGAGAAGGAAUUUCACUCUUCUUGCCCAGGCUGGAGUGCAAUGGUGUGAU